rnacentral:rRNA from 1 species
CACCCGUUCCCAUGCCGAACACGGAAGUUAAGCUCUUCAGCGCCGAUGGUAGUUAGGGGCUUCCCCUUGUGAGAGUAGGACGUUGCCAGGU